rnacentral:rRNA from 1 species
CCUACGGGAGGCAGCAGUGAGGAAUAUUGGUCAAUGGACGAGAGUCUGAACCAGCCAAGUAGCGUGAAGGAUGACUGCCCUAUGGGUUGUAAACUUCUUUUAUAUGGGAAUAAAAUGUUCCACGUGUGGGAUUUUGUAUGUACCAUAUGAAUAAGGAUCGGCUAACUCCGUGCCAGCAGCCGCGGUAAUACGGAGGAUCCGAGCGUUAUCCGGAUUUAUUGGGUUUAAAGGGAUCGUAGGUGGAUUGUUAAGUCAGUUGUGAAAGUUUGCGGCUCAACCGUAAAAUUGCAGUUGAAACUGGCAGUCUUGAGUACAGUAGAGGUGGGCGGAAUUCGUGGUGUAGCGGUGAAAUGCUUAGAUAUCACGAAGAACUCCGAUUGCGAAGGCAGUUCACUGGACUGCAACUGACACUGAGGCUCGAAAGUGUGGGUAUCAAACAGGAUUAGAUACCCGUGUAGUC